rnacentral:misc_RNA from 1 species
AAUAAAACAAAGAUCUAACUCAAAAUUUGUGGAUUUGGAGAUUUUACAAUAAAACGCGUCUUCGUCGCGUAAAGAAUAGGUAGACUUCGACUCCAGCGUUUUAACUAUAAGAUCCAGAGAGAUACGCGAUUGUUGCUCUCUUUUCUAUCAACUGGAACUGAUAAGUCAGUUCUUAUAAAGUGGCGUGAUUCAGAGAUGCACCGGCAGUGAGCGGAGAUUGAAAUGCUGUCGUUUUCAGUAAAAUCAAAUAAUUCGGUAUUAGAUUAAAAGACUAAAGAAGUUAUGUAGAUUGAAGAGGAAAAUCAACAAAAUACAUAUAUCUCCAGAGCUCAAAAAUGUAACUGAAGAACUGACGAAAAUGAUGACACCGACUCAAUAUUUUACUGUCACUUAUGAGUUGACGAGAAAAAUGACACCUAAAUAAUACUAGCCAUUUACAGUCCUCUAAUUCGUCUUCAAGAUCAUCUUCAUCUAGUUCCGAUUCAUCUAGCUCAUCAUCGUCAAGCUCUUCUAGCUCAUCUUCAUCCAGUUUUUCAAGCUCCAAUAGUUCAAUGCCUACCCAAAACCCUGCCCCACAAAACUUUACAACGGAUUGUGAAGAAAAGACGUCUUACACCAAUUCACCACAAAAUACUAAGAGGCAGCAAAUUCAGCUGAGAGAGCGACGAAAUUACAAUAGAGUGGCCAGUUACAAUAUUUCUCCAGUAUACACAGAUCUAAGUGACGUCGACCUGAGUGACGACGAUCCACUGUAGAUUUUAAUACAUUGUUUAAUAAGCCUGUCAACAGAAGAAAUUUUAUGUUUGAAUCAAAGUUCUUCUAACUCUGACUGCAAUAAUAAACCAAAUAUUUAUCAGUCAGUUCAGCCUAUUGCAAUGCACUGCUGGACAUAGGCCUCCCCAAGUUCGCGCUAGACAUCCCGGUUUUCCGCAAUCCUCAUCCAGCUUACACCGGCAAUCUUACGUAGAUCGUCGGUCCAACGGGCCAGAGGACGUCACACACUGUGUUUGCCAAGACGCGGUCUCUACUCCAGAACGCAUCUGCUCCAACAGCCACCGGUCCUGCGACACAGAUGACCAGCCCACUGCCACUUCAACUUGCUAAUUCUGUGGGCUAUGUCGGUUACUUUCGUUCUCUCGCGGUAGUCUCGUUUCUAAUCCUAUCUUUGAGGGAAACCCCAAGCAUGGCCAGUUCCAUUGCACGUUGAGGGACUUUAUAUUUGUGGACCAGUCCCUUCGUCAGUGUCCAUGUCUCGGCUCGGUAUGUUAACACAGGCAGGACGUAUUGCUCGAAGACUUUUGUCUUCAAGCAUUGCGGAAUCUUUGAAGUGAAGACUCGACGAAGCCUGCCAAAUGCCGCCCAGCCCCACCGAAUCCUCCUAUCGGCCUCCUUCUCAAAGUUGUUGCGGCCUAGUUGGAUAGUAUGGCCUAAGUAAAUAUAAUCCUGAACAACUUAGAGAAGGUUACCAUCGACCGAUACCUGUCUCGGUAUGACUUGGUUGUUAGUCAUAACUUUCGUUUUGUCCAAGUUCAUACAGAGAACGACACGUCGGGAGGACUCGUUUAGACCGGCUAGCAUUUGGCCUAACUCAUCUAACGUGUCGUGUGUGUGUGUGAUAUCGUCGGCGAAACGAAGGUGAGAGAUGUAUUCACCGUUGACGAUGAUGCCUUGUUCCCCCCAAUCCAAGGUCUUAAAGAUAUCCUCCAGCGCAGUGGUAAACAGUUUCGGUGAUAUUACAUCUUGCUGUCUUACCCCACGCCGCAGGGAAAUAGGUCUGGUUCUGUGGUCCUGGACAUGAACGGUCAUCGUCGUUGCGUCGUACAUACAUUUCAGUACCACGAUAUAUCGCCAAUCGAUAUGACAUCUCUGCAGUCCAGGACAGCCCAGGUCUCGACAGAGUUGAAGGCUUUCUCGCAGUCCACAAAUUCCAUACACAGCGGCUGAUUAUAUGUCUCUGUCUUUUGAAUAAUCUGCCGAACAGUAUGGAUGUGGUCUACGGUGUUGUAGCCAUUUCGAAACCCAACCUGCUUUGGUGGUAGGAAUUCGUCGAGUCUUAUGGCGAGACGAUUCGAAACUACCCUCGAAAACAGCUUAUAUACGUGACUCAGAAGUGAGAUCGGUCUGUAAUUCUUCAGCAGAGACUUAACGCCUCUCCUAAAGAACAGCACCACCACACUCCUGGACCACAACUCCGGCGUGGUACCUCGGUGGAUGUCGGUGUUAAAGAGUCUUGCCAAGUCUUUUAGGGCAGGUCGCUCUGCGGCUUUAAGAAGCUCAGUGGUACAAAUAUGGUUAGGGGCCGCAAAAGGUCACUAAACGUUGAAAAAUGCCAUCAAAUUAGAGCAAAACGGCUCAGAAACAAAGGCCGUCAGUGUCAAAAGCUCGUAAACAAAUCCAGCUCGUUUUAUAAAAGAUACAUGUACCGAAAAAUGUGCAGAAAAUAUUGAUUCCGACGGUAUUUAACUUAGGGUUUCACCAACCAAAAAAAGGUCAGUGUGGUCUAUGUGUAUCAUAUGAUAAUUCAAACAAUCAGCAAAAACAAGAUGAUAGACAAUAUAAGAAAGAAGAGACUGCGGAUUUUUAUAUUAUUUACUAGCUGACCCCGCAAACGUUGUUUUGCCAUAUAUAUGUUAUUAACCCCCUUAAUCCCCCUCCCCCUUUUAACUUAGGGGUAUGAAAAAUAAAUUUUGUUCGAUUCUCAGACCUACCCGAUAUGCACACAAAAUUUCGUGUGAAUCGGUCUAGCCGUUUCGGAGGAGUUUAACUACAAACACCGCGACACGAGAAUUUUAUAUAUUAGAUUAUUUGUGGUUAGUAAUUAUUUGUGAUUUUAGGAGAUAUUUACUGGAGACUAAUUGUACCUAAUUCUUAUAAUAGUAUAUAGUUUUUGUUUUGUUUAAAAAACAAUAUUUGUAGCCAUAAAGAGAUAUAUAAAUAUCAGAUGAUUCAUAAAAAUUUGUUUAAUUUUAAAAAAAGGCGAUAAAUUUCAGUUUUCGUUUUAU